rnacentral:rRNA from 1 species
CAGCCGCCGCGGGAAUACGAAGGGGGCUAGCGUUGCUCGGAAUGACUGGGCGUAAAGGGCGCGUAGGCGGUUUUGACAGUCAGAUGUGAAAUUCCUGGGCUUAACCUGGGGGCUGCAUUUGAGACGUCAAGACUAGAGUGUGAGAGAGGGUUGUGGAAUUCCCAGUGUAGAGGUGAAAUUCGUAGAUAUUGGGAAGAACACCGGUGGCGAAGGCGGCAACCUGGCUCAUUACUGACGCUGAGGCGCGAAAGCGUGGGAGCAAACAGGAUUAGAUACCCCAGUAGUCCCUGUCUCUUAUACC